GGAAGGGUGGCGGAGUGGGCGAUCGCGACUGUCUUGAAAACAGUUGGCCGAUGAGGCCCGCGGGUUCGAAUCCCGCCCCUUCCGCCA
rnacentral:tRNA from 1 species